AAUAAUAUUUUGCAUAGCUAAACAUAAUGGAUACAUCUAAUCUAAUCAAUCCUGAGGAAACUGACAUAUGUUGUUCGCCUUCAGGGUAGUGUGAUUUUACAUGCAAAUGAUUCACAAUCACAAGCUUGGUCAUGAGAAGACAAAGAAGAGGAAAAUAAUUUCAAAUAAAACCACGAGGGAAGUUACCACAAGAGAAGCCAGAAGGUAUCAAUUGCCAGGCAAACCAGGCCAGCGCCAUCAGCGAGGAGUGUACCAUCGCUUGGCUGCAUUCUCAGGCCAUGUUCCACUCUUCUCCAACUGGCUGACGCAUCGCUAGCAAAGACAGUAUCGAGUAAAUUGCCACAAGAUGAAGACCCUUUUCCAUGAAGGCAGAGACUAGAAGAGGCCCGAGGCCC